GCUUUCGACGAGGACCCGGACUUCAUGCCUGAUCGAGGGAGGGUCGAUGAUAGCAGUGUGGGGUAUGGGUGGUUAGAGUCUUUUGGAGUUGGUUGUUACUGUAAUAGCUCUGAUUCGUUUUGCUUUUGGGACAGGGUAGGUUCCCGAUGCAUGGCUUUUUGUGUGGUUCUCUUACGGAGGGAUCACAGUGAGUCAGUCGGACCAUAGGGGUCUUUGCUUAGGCCAUUUUGAGGCCGACUUUCUCCUAGUGGUUUGUAAUUAUACUUUUUCUCACUCACACUUCUGGAUCUGUAAAUAUUUGCCUACGGGCACACUACUUUGGAGUCACUGCGAGUGUGUGUGACGUGGAAGUGCAGCUGAG
rnacentral:lncRNA from 1 species